AGAGUUUGAUCCUGGCUCAGGAUGAACGCUAGCGGCAGGCCUAAUACAUGCAAGUCGAACGGGUCUAGGUAGCAAUACCUAGAUUAGUGGCGCACGGGUGCGUAACGCGUAUGCAACCUACCUUUUAUUGGGGGAUAGCCCGAAGAAAUUCGGAUUAAUACCGCAUAACACUGUUUGAGGGCAUCUGAAGACAGUUAAAGCUACGGCGAUAAAAGAUGGGCAUGCGUGUCAUUAGCUAGUUGGUAGAGGUAACGGCUCACCAAGGCAACGAUGACUAGGGGUUCUGAGAGGAUGAUCCCCCACACUGGUACUGAGAUACGGACCAGACUCCUACGGGAGGCAGCAGUAGGGAAUAUUGGGCAAUGGAGGCAACUCUGACCCAGCCAUGCCGCGUGAAGGAUGAAGGCCUUCUGGGUUGUAAACUUCUUUUAUCUAGGAAGAAAAUGUCCUUGCGAGGAAAACUGACGGUACUAGAUGAAUAAGCACCGGCUAACUCCGUGCCAGCAGCCGCGGUAAUACGGAGGGUGCAAGCGUUGUCCGGAUUUAUUGGGUUUAAAGGGUGCGUAGGCGGCUUAGUAAGUCCGUGGUGAAAGCCAACAGCUCAACUGUUGAACUGCCAUGGAUACUGCUAGGCUUGAGUACAGACGAGGUAGGCGGAAUGGAUAGUGUAGCGGUGAAAUGCAUAGAUACUAUCCAGAACACCGAUUGCGAAGGCAGCUUACUAGACUGUAACUGACGCUGAGGCACGAAAGCGUGGGGAGCGAACAGGAUUAGAUACCCUAGUAGUCC
rnacentral:rRNA from 1 species